rnacentral:rRNA from 1 species
AUGAACGCUAGCGACAGGCUUAACACAUGCAAGUCGAGGGGCAGCACAGGUAGCAAUACCGGGUGGCGACCGGCGCACGGGUGAGUAACGCGUAUGCAACUUACCUAUCAGAGGGGGAUAACCCGGCGAAAGUCGGACUAAUACCGCAUGAAGCAGGGGCCCCGCAUGGGGAUAUUUGCUAAAGAUUCAUCGCUGAUAGAUAGGCAUGCGUUCCAUUAGGCAGUUGGCGGGGUAACGGCCCACCAAACCGACGAUGGAUAGGGGUUCUGAGAGGAAGGUCCCCCACAUUGGUACUGAGACACGGACCAAACUCCUACGGGAGGCAGCAGUGAGGAAUAUUGGUCAAUGGCCGAGAGGCUGAACCAGCCAAGUCGCGUGAGGGAUGAAGGUUCUAUGGAUCGUAAACCUCUUUUAUAAGGGAAUAAAGUGCGGGACGUGUCCCGUUUUGUAUGUACCUUAUGAAUAAGGAUCGGCUAACUCCGUGCCAGCAGCCGCGGUAAUACGGAGGAUCCGAGCGUUAUCCGGAUUUAUUGGGUUUAAAGGGUGCGUAGGCGGCCUUUUAAGUCAGCGGUGAAAGUCUGUGGCUCAACCAUAGAAUUGCCGUUGAAACUGGGGGGCUUGAGUAUGUUUGAGGCAGGCGGAAUGCGUGGUGUAGCGGUGAAAUGCAUAGAUAUCACGCAGAACCCCGAUUGCGAAGGCAGCCUGCCAAGCCAUUACUGACGCUGAUGCACGAAAGCGUGGGGAUCAAACAGGAUUAGAUACCCUGGUAGUCCACGCAGUAAACGAUGAUCACUAGCUGUUUGCGAUACACUGUAAGCGGCACAGCGAAAGCGUUAAGUGAUCCACCUGGGGAGUACGCCGGCAACGGUGAAACUCAAAGGAAUUGACGGGGGCCCGCACAAGCGGAGGAACAUGUGGUUUAAUUCGAUGAUACGCGAGGAACCUUACCCGGGUUUGAACGCAUUCGGACCGAGGUGGAAACACCUUUUCUAGCAAUAGCCGUUUGCGAGGUGCUGCAUGGUUGUCGUCAGCUCGUGCCGUGAGGUGUCGGCUUAAGUGCCAUAACGAGCGCAACCCUUGCCACUAGUUACUAACAGGUAAAGCUGAGGACUCUGGUGGGACUGCCAGCGUAAGCUGCGAGGAAGGCGGGGAUGACGUCAAAUCAGCACGGCCCUUACAUCCGGGGCGACACACGUGUUACAAUGGCGUGGACAAAGGGAAGCCACCUGGCGACAGGGAGCGAAUCCCCGAACCACGUCUCAGUUCGGAUCGGAGUCUGCAACCCGACUCCGUGAAGCUGGAUUCGCUAGUAAUCGCGCAUCAGCCAUGGCGCGGUGAAUACGUUCCCGGGCCUUGUACACACCGCCCGUCAAGCCAUGGGAGCCGGGGGUACCUGAAGUCCGUAACCGCGAGGAUCGGCCUAGGGUAAAACUGGUGACUGGGGCU